rnacentral:rRNA from 1 species
CCUACGGGAGGCAGCAGUGGGGAAUUUUGGACAAUGGGCGAAAGCCUGAUCCAGCCAUGCCGCGUGAGUGAAGAAGGCCUUCGGGUUGUAAAGCUCUUUCGGCCGGGACGAAAUCGCACGAGUGAAUAUCGCGUGUGGAUGACGGUACCGGCAGAAGAAGGACCGGCUAACUACGUGCCAGCAGCCGCGGUAAUACGUAGGGUCCGAGCGUUAAUCGGAAUUACUGGGCGUAAAGCGUGCGCAGGUGGUUUUGUAAGCCAGAUGUGAAAGCCCCGGGCUUAACCUGGGAACUGCAUUUGGGACUGCAAGGCUAGAGUACGGCAGAGGGGGGUAGAAUUCCUGGUGUAGCAGUGAAAUGCGUAGAUAUCAGGAGGAAUACCGAUGGCGAAGGCAGCCCCCUGGGUCGAUACUGACGCUCAUGCACGAAAGCGUGGGGAGCAAACAGGAUUAGAUACCCUGGUAGUCCACGCCCUAAACGAUGUCAACUAGUUGUUGGGGGCCUUACCGCCCUUAGUAACGCAGCUAACGCGUGAAGUUGACCGCCUGGGGAGUACGGUCGCAAGAUUAAAACCGUCAAAGGAAUUGACGG